UAGCCACCAACCCUUAUAAAGCAUCACCUAGCUCCAAGCUUUAAACACCACAGCCUUCAAGCCUCAAGCUUUUCCUUCCAUCCUCCUUCUGUUGAAACUCUUGAACCCCCAUAGCCAUAGCCACACACAACAAAUUAUCAACACCAAACUCAAACAUAUCCAACACCAAGUCAAGCACAUGCAUUCUCAUUUGCUAAACUUGUGGGGCUUUAGCUCCCACACUCCAAGCUCUCAUGCCAAGCUCAUAUAAUCUCAUAUCAACAUCAGCAAGUCAUCUUCAACUCUUCGUCGAGCUGCCGGAAACAUCAACACAAAACACGCAGCCGCUGGAAGAAGAACAAAGUACUCCCCUAGGACUUGUUUUUCCCUCGGGAUACUUUGGGCCUAGUUCUCGCUAACUCAGACAAAGGGGCAACGAAGUCUUCAUUCAUCACUAUAUGGCGAUCUAAGAAUCAACAAAGCCCGGAUGAGCCUUCAGACGAAAACGACCCCAACACUAGGUUUUCUAAUUCCUUUAAAAAAAUUAAAAUACAAACAUAAAAUUGAAAAAAAAAAAUAGGUUUUAGAAAAAGAAAACAAACCCUACCCAUCCCUUCUCCCCUAAUCGCACCAAAUCCACCUCCUCUUUCUCUGUCCCUGUAAGACC
rnacentral:lncRNA from 1 species